rnacentral:misc_RNA from 1 species
AAAGUCGUAACAAGGUUUCCGUAGGUGAACCUGCGGAAGGAUCAUUACAAAUCAUUGCGAGCUCAGUCAUUUACUUGGCUGAGUAAGCACAUUGGCACAAGACUGCAUUAACGUGCAGUCUUGAUGUUUACGCUUGUUUGUUUGACAGAGUAAAAUGUGACUAAAUAUAGACAACUUUUAACAAUGGAUCUCUUGGCUCUU